UGUGCUGACCCAUUUCCCCUGGAAGCCUUUACUACUCACAGAGGCAGCACACGGAGCGUGAAAUCACCCCACAUGUGGACUUCUGACGUGCACGUGAGGAAGUCACCUGUGUAUCAAUCAAGGAAGCAGGACGGGCAAACACCACAUGGUGCCGGUUGGCAGAUGGACUGCUCAGCCCUGAUGGCAAGAGGUGAUGUUUGGGAAGUUCUCAUGAGAAGAAUGCCUGAACAGGGUGUUCGAAGACAAAACAAAGUAUUCGUUACAGCCACAGUGGACCCGGGGAGACCCGGAGCCGAAGCCCGCUCCUGGCAGGGUCGCCCGUGCGGAGUUGUUUCUCUGUCCCAAAUGGUUGUACCGUGAGAUGACAUCACUUCUAAGCAAAAGCAGCAGGAGGGGCUCCCACUGAGCGGGCCAGCUUUUCCUCCCACUGGUCUGCUCACGUAGCCACCCGCCGGGCUCACCAACCUUCCCAACCAUGGGUGCCCGGACCGGACCCCAUGGCGCUGAGGCUGCUCCUGGCUCUCAUCGUCUCUGAGGCUGUGACCUUGAUUCUGGGGUGGGCCACCCUGCUGGGGGGCUUUUGUGAAGUUCCUAAUAAUCCUUAUUUCAGGGCCCGCUCAGGGUGCUCACUCAGCAAGUACCUACUGAGCUCUGUUUUGUUCCACUCCGGCACAGAGGCGGACAAAGAGACGGGCCCUGGCCUGCAGGUGCCAUGGGGGUGCACGUGCAACAGAUAAGCACACAUCAGUAAUCAGGUGUGACCCAGGCUAGGCCUGGAGCACAGAGCGAGUGAGCAGCCGCCAGGUGCAGUGGGCUGGGCUCCCUGGGGCCUCCCGGCCGGCAGAGGGCAGGCUCGACGCUGAGCGGAAGGUGUCUCUGCUGGGGCUGCUGUAACCCAGUGCGGCAGCCUGCGGGCUUGAACAGCUGCGGUGUGGCUCUCCCACAGGAGAGACUGGAAGCCUGAGAUCAGGGUGCCAGCAGGGGCCGGUUCCUGGUGAAGGCCCUCUCCCUGUCUGCAGGUGGCUGUCAUCUGGCUAUGUCCUCACCUGGCAGAGGGCAGAGAGAGGAAGCGGGCUCUGUUGUGUCCCUUCUGGGGGCCUCAUCUUGACCAAAUCAACGUCCAGGGCCCCACCUCCCCACAACCUCACACUGGAGGUUAGGCUUCAACAUAGGAAUCUUGGAGGCACCCAGACAGUCAGUCCAUUCAGAAGGGGAAACCUCAAGGGGUGAUGGGAGGGGAAGGGCAUGGUCCAGUUUACAUUUAUAGAAAUAUAUCAGGAUUGCUCUUUUACACAGUGCUCAUUUUCUACAUUUUAUGAUGCCUUACACAAUUUUGGAGAGUUGUGCUAAGAACUUUGCCAUAUUACUUUGAUAAAUGGAUAGGAACCAUGGACAGAUGUGACAAAUCAUUUGAAAUAUCAGCCAAAGAUAGAACAACCAUUAGGUAAGUGCUUUUUUAAAAAAAAUAUUAUCAUUUCAAAAGUCAUUGCUGCCAAAUUUCCCUGAUGGGCUAAUUUGUCUGAUGGUGAAAGGUGGUGUAGACAGUAAUGUCAAAUGAGUUGGAAGCUUGAGACAUCAGGAAUCACUUUUGACCUUCAAAGAACACAUCUUGGCUGACUGGAUGGCUACUGGGGGGGCCUGUGCAUGAGAAGGGCAGCUUUAGACUGGUUCCUGUGACCUUCCUAUGACCUUGCUUCUGUGACCAGCUGGGACAUUGGAGAAGAAUAGACCAAGUGAGGGGUCAGCUUGCUGGGGUAUCAGAGAGGGAGGGGAAGGGCUAUGUAAGCAGGUAGUGAGUGCCAAGGUGUCCAGACAACAGGAGCCAAUAGUCCAUGUGCUGGGCCCUCAGUAAGCCUUGAGUCGUGGGCAGUGAAGUGGCCUCCGUUCUCUGUGCUGGUGGCCAGACCCAACAAGCUCAGCUUAAGGCCCUGUUGGACACAUGGAUACUGUGUCAGAGUGUGUAGAUCACCUGGACUGUGAGGGCACUGGCACAUUUCGAGGCUCCAGACACAUUUAAGGCACAGUUAUCAUGGCGAAUGUAAAACUGUAAGCAUGAAAACUAAGGCCGUGUCUAUAAAAUGCUCAAAUACUGAGUUGAUCCAAUCAAUGCAAAGCCACCAGGUUCAUGAGGAAAAAUUCAAUCAGAGUUCUUCUGCGGUCCUUUAAGCAGGACGGGCCUUCUGGUAAAUGCAACACGAGGAUGCAGAGGAAGCCAGGGGGCUGGAGCACGGCUUUGGUCAGCUGGGUGCCUGCAGGCAGGCCUUCUGCCUGACCAGCGGGUGGCCAUCUCCGCUGAGGCCCUGCCAGCCUCCUCUGUUAGUGAGACCUUUGGUCUUGACCCAGCACCUAGGGUGCAGCCCUUCCCAGCCAUACUCAGCAGCAGAAAGCCAUGGAGGUGCUCCCAGCAGCAGGAGGGUGCACCCGUCAGCGGAUCGAAGCGGCUUGUCCCUGACUGCACUUAGGUGAGCCUGUGAUCCGCUGACCAGCUCUGACUCCCAUGUUUGAUCCUGGCCAGCUCUACUGACCAGGACACAUCCGUCUGCAAUUCUGCUGGAGUCUUAGACAAAACUAUCGGGUUGCAAGAGGCAGAAAUCCAUUCCAGCUAAGAGAAAAGGGUGUUUACCUUGGGAGUACGGAAGACUCUUAGGGGGCCUAAUGGUGGGAACAGGAAGUCACUCGCCCUUGUAGCGCUGGCCCACCCACCGGCCUCUGCCUCUCUCUGCUGUUCCUGUGUCUAUCUGUCUAUCUAUCCAUCACCUACCUACCUACCUACCUAUUCCACUAUCCUCUCUCAAGCUGACUUCCUCUACCAGCCUCCUGUGAAACGUGCUUGCGCAGCUCCGUCCAGGCUCUGCCUUAGCAAUGCCAGGUGCUAACUCUCGACCCCAGCACUCUAUGAAUCAGUUGUUACUGAAGUGAAAUCCAUAUAAGAUAAAGUUAACCACUUCAAAGUGUACAAUUCAGUGGCACUUAGUACAUUCACAAUGUGUGCAACCACCAUCUCUUUCUGAUUUCAGAACAGUCUCACCACCUCAAAAAAAAAAUCCCAUAUUCAUUGCUGUAGAUUAAAUGUGUGUGCCACCCCCAAAUUCAUAUGUUGAACCAGAUGUGCCAUGUGAUGGUAUUUGGAGGUGGAGACUGUGGGAGGGGAAUAGGUUGUGGGGGUGGAGCCCUCAUGAAUGGGAUCAGUGCCCUUACAAGAGAGACCCCACAGAGUGGCCUGCCUCUCUGCAGUGAGGACACCAUGAUCAGAGAGCUUUCUAUGAGGUGAUCUUGGACUUCCCAGCCUCCACAGAGCUGUGAGAAAUAAUGUUUGAUGUUUAUAAGCCACCAGUUCAUGCUCUUUGUUGUAGCAGCCUGAACAAGCUUAGACGCCCAUUAACCAGUCACUCCCCCUGUACCCCUUACCCCAGCCCCUGGAAAUCACCGGUCUGUUUUCUGCCUCUGUGGAUUUGCCUAUUCUGGAAAUUUGAUAUAAAUGGAAUCAUGCGCUCUUGUGACUGGCUUCUUUCAUUCAGCGUAAUGUUUUCUGGUUCAUCUGUGUGCAGGCAUGUAUCGAUACUUCAUUCCUCGCUGUGGCUGAACAAUAUCCCAUUGUAUGUGAAGACCAGGUUUUGUU